rnacentral:lncRNA from 1 species
AUGAUUGUAUGAGAUUGAUGCUCUUUGCCAUAUGAGUUCUUAGAUUCUGGAGCUUUCAUCGGAGCUGCAGUCUCAAAACAAAUUAAAUUAAGCGGGGCGCCUAUGGCUGUUUUAAAGGAUUCGAUUACAUUUGAUGAUUGAAGAGUUGAGAAAACUUGGUAGAUGGCAUGUAAGGAGCAUAAAUAAGUACCCGAUUUUCUUUUAUUGCUUAUGUUUGUAUGGUAAUAUUACAGCAAAGUGAUGAUGAUAACUUUGCCUGG